AAUGAUACUUCCCUGAACCUGUCUAUAAGGGCCCGCGAAGAAGGAAAAGCGGGGGAAUGCCCGCCGCGUUUGAAAUAGAAUGCGGCCGGAUUCC
rnacentral:sRNA from 1 species